rnacentral:rRNA from 1 species
UACGUAGGGGGCUAGCGUUGUCCGGAAUCAUUGGGCGUAAAGCGCGUGUAGGCGGCUCGGUAAGUCCGCUGUGAAAGUCGGGGGCUCAACCCUCGAAUGCCGGUGGAACUGUCGGCGCGAGUCCGGAAGAGGCGAGUGGAAUUCCUGGUGUAGCGGUGAAAUGCGCAGAUAUCAGGAGGAACACCAAUGGCGAAGGCAGCUCGCUGGGACGUGACUGACGCUGAGACGCGAAAGCGUGGGGAGCAAACAGG